rnacentral:rRNA from 2 species
CCGCGGUAUCCUGACCGUGCAAAGGUAGCAUAAUCGUUAGUUCCUUAAUUGGGAUCUUGUAUGAAUGGUUAGACAAAAGAAAACCUGUCUCUGUAUUAAAAUUGAAUUUAACUUUUAAGUGAAAAGGCUUAAAUAAAUUAAAGGGACGAUAAGACCCUAUAAAGCUUUAUAAAUAUAUUGUUAUUUAAUUUAAUUUUUAAUAAUAAAAUUUAAUAACAAAUUUAUUUUGUUGGGGUGACAAAAGUAAAAUUAUUAGUAACUGCUUGAAUUUAAAUACAAAUGAUAGUUGAGUUGGUGGUUUUAAAAGAUCCUAAAUAAAGAUUAUAAGUUUAAGUUACUUUAGGGAUAACAGCGUUAUUUUUUUUGAGAGUACAUAUCGAAAAAAAAGUUUGCGACCUCGAUGUUGAAUUAAAAUUUCUUUAUA